rfam:Mogibacterium pumilum strain ATCC 700696 genome.
UCCUUAUUAAGAGCGAGUGAGGGAAUGGGCCCGGCGAACUCGCGGCAGCAUCGCAUAUUGCGGUUGUGCCAAGUCCCACAGGCAAAGCCUGAAAGAUGAGGA